UGGGGAAUAUUGGACAAUGGGCGCAAGCCUGAUCCAGCCAUGCCGCGUGGGUGAUGAAGGCCCUAGGGUUGUAAAGCCCUUUCGGCGGGGAAGAUAAUGACGGUACCCGCAGAAGAAGCCCCGGCUAACUUCGUGCCAGCAGCCGCGGUAAUACGAAGGGGGCUAGCGUUGCUCGGAAUUACUGGGCGUAAAGCGCACGUAGGCGGUUUCUUAAGUCGGGGGUGAAAUCCUGGAGCUCAACUCCAGAACUGCCUUCGAUACUGGGAAACUUGAGUCCGGGAGAGGUGAGUGGAACUGCGAGUGUAGAGGUGAAAUUCGUAGAUAUUCGCAAGAACACCAGUGGCGAAGGCGGCUCACUGGCCCGGUACUGACGCUGAGGUGCGAAAGCGUGGGGAGCAAACA
rnacentral:rRNA from 1 species